AGAGGAUGCAAGUGUUAUUCGGAUUGAUUGGGCGUAAAGCGUCUGUAGGCGGUUUAGAAAGUCUUUUGUGAAAUACUUCAGCUCAACUGGAGCUCCGCAAAAGAAACUUCUAGACUUGAGGGAAGUAGAGGUACAGGGAAUUUCCGGUGGAGCGGUGAAAUGCGUAGAUAUCGGAAGGAACACCAAUAUGGCGAAGGCACUGUACUGGGCUUUACCUGACGCUAAGAGACGAAAGCUAAAGGAGUGAUUAGGAUUAGAUACCCUAGUAAUUUUAGCCGUAAACGAUGGAAACUCACUGCCGAGCCGGUAUUCGGAGCGGUGGUCAAGCUAACGCGUGAAGUUUCCCGCCUGGGGAUUACGCAUGCAAAUGUGAAACUCAAAGGAAUUGACGGGGACCCGCACAAGCGGUGGAGUAUGUGGUUUAAUUCGAUGCAACGCGAAAAACCUUACCAAGGUUUGAAAUCAUUCUAAAACUCUUUGAAAGAAGAGCCUCCUUCGGGAUAGAAUGACAGGUGGUGCAUGGCUGUCGUCAGCUCGUGUUGUGAAAUGUCAAGUUAAGUCUUGUAACGAGCGCAACCCAUGUCUUUUGUUGCUGUUUACAGUGCUUAAAAGAGACUGCCGCUCUACAGCGGAGGAAGGUGUGGAUGAUGUCAAGUCAGCAUGCCCCUUAUAUCUUGGGCUACACACGUACUACAAUGGUAGGGACAAUGAGUCGCAAACCUGCGAAGGCUAGCCAAUCUCAAAAACCCUAUCUCAGUUCGGAUUGUACUCUGCAACUCGAGUGCAUGAAGGUGGAAUCGCUAGUAAUCGCUGGUCAGCAUACAGCGGUGAAUACGUUCCCGGGUCUUGUACACACUGCCCGUCACACCAUGGAAGUCGAUCCUUCCCUAAGUCGUUACUCGAACCUUUUAGGACGAGGAUGCCGAAGGCAGGGUUGGUGACUAGGGUGAAGUCGUAACAAGGUAGCCGUACUGGAAGGUGUGGCUG
rnacentral:rRNA from 1 species